CCUCGGCACAUCACGUAACAUCACUACUGAAUUGUUUUGAGCUCUACUUCAGCAGCCCAGCUCAACUCUAUCUCGGAGUGACCGUGUUUCCACCGGCCCCUCUCGGCUCUGUAGCAGCGUGACACCUCUUGGCGGUGGGGGGGUAAAGUGCCCCACCUUCAUGUGCUAAUGAAAGAUGUUCUUCUGAUUUCAAGAAAAUGCAUGGUGGGAGGAAUGCUGAUUCUGGAGGACAGCUGAUCUCUGCCUUGCAGCGGGAGG